rnacentral:misc_RNA from 1 species
UCGUUCGGUUUCUAAAGACCCCUGCCUUCCUGGCAAAAAAAAAACAAUAUCUAUAUAGCGCGCGCUUGCACACACAGGCAGCCGCUGCCUCCGCACGCGCUUUUGCACGCAACCCUUCUGCAUACACGCCCCAUAUACGGGCGAACGCUCCACCAACACAGCCGCUCGUCGUCUUCGCGUGCUGCAUCACUAGCCUCCGUGUAUAUGUGUUCAUACCUGUGGCGUUUCUUUGACAAAAGAACCGCAAGGGAAAGUAACCGUAAAGCUUCUCUGCAAACGGGGGAGGGACAAACCGGCGAACCACAGACGACGCCGACUUGCUCGCUCGCUUCAUAAUCGUCGUUCCGUACUUUCUCGCCUCCCUCCCUCCCCCUGCCUAUCUCCCUCCCUCUGUCUGUCGCUGCCUGCACGACCGUAUUCGUGCUUCUGUGCUCAACUAAAGAAAAGAGGCCAAAUGAAAUAACGCGCAAAUCGCAAAGAAUAGUGAAUCGAGUCUAUGCGUUGGUGUACUGUGCUGACCCUCCCCUCACCUCCCUCUACAUGCACACACACACACACACCCUUCUCUUCUUUUUUCUUGUUUCGUUCCUGCUUUUUUGAUCUUCCGGCUUCUUUUCCAACGUCAUCUCCGUCUCUUCCCCACAUCGGUUGAGCUAACGUGGAUUGUUCGGUGGCGCGACGUCUGCAACAUCAGAUACCAUCGUGGCUACUAACAGCAGACGUAACGGUACGGUUUUCCUUGCCUUUUCUGGCUGCCCUCUCUCUUGGCGCCUCUGGGUCGUUCUUCAGCUCCCCUCGCUUCUUUUGUCUGUUUGCCGUUGUUCGCAUGCGCUCUUUGCUUCGUAGACUUCGCAUUUUUACCUUGUAACGUCUUCCCCCUCCCCUCCCCUCACCACAGCACUGUCUUUCUCUCUGUCCCUCUCUAGGUUGUUGUUGUGCACUUGCUUGUGUGUCUGCCUUUGCCCCCUGUGCCGUUGUUUGCUUUUCACUCGUAACUCUCUCUCUCUCUGUCUGGACUUUGUGCGGUGUACACGUGCGUGCAUCUCCUCACGUUAGAUGUGCAACAGUCGUAAUCACUGAUAAUAGAACCACGAGCGUAUCUCGUUUCCACGUGCACACCGGCCCAGAGAGGGGAGGGCGACAACUGCGCCGGGAGAGGAGCCGUAUAGAAGACGGUUGUGCUAGUCUGAGAAAGACCGUAAAGCGACCUGAAGGGGCUUCCUCAACGAGAAGAAAAAAGAAUGGCAGGCGACUUCUCCAUGUCGUGUAGCACGGAUGAAAGCGCCUUUAUGCCAGAGAUCCGUGUCGUGGUGCUGGGGGACGCGAAGGUCGGCAAGACCUCGUUGCUGCGGCAGUACCUACACCACGAAAAGCCUUCCCGGUCGACCGGUUAUGAGUCGACGCUGCUAGAUUCUUACACCCACGUCGACUACUGUGGUACGCAGCCGUAUCGACUGAUCUUCACAGAUUGCAGCAGCGCCCCAUCCUUUCACGAGCAUCGCGCUGCAUAUCUGGCCAAGUGCGACGUCGUCAUUCUUGUCUACUCGGCGCGCCAUCGCAAGACGCUUCUGAAUUUGCGCCACUGGAUGGAGGAGGUGUUGGAGGCACGCGGCUUGACGGGGCCGGCGCGGUGUGCCUCCACCACCGGCGACUUCGGCGAGGUACCCAUCUUCGUUGUAGGGACACACUACAGGGAAAAGGACUCAUCGGAGGCGACGAACCCGACAAGCACGGACGAGGCGGAGAGCAUAACGAAGGAGUGCCUCCAAUCUGCCGGCUAUUUCAUCAACGAGAACGACGCCGACACCGAGGAGGCGCUCCGCUCGAAUUCGGUGCGGUCACAGAAAGCGCAACAACGACGUCAGCAGCGACAGGGGCCAAAGGAGAGACGCUCUCCUCGCGCUUUCCACGACUUCUUACACAAACUCUUCCACAGCAACGCGGACGGCGAGGGCAGAGACGCAGCAACCCUGAAGAAGGCAACAUCAGACGAGGUGACGGCUUGCCAGCAGCACCAGCCAGCAUCUCCCGUCAGCAACAACGGCUGCCUUUCGCCAGCGUCAUCGACUCCGAUGCUGCCGCAGGUCAAAUCCGACAUCGCCAACGACAAAACCAAGUCGAGCAACGCCACAUCAACGCUGCGUAUCCCUCCCGGCGCGUCGACGCGCUUGCCGCUCUUUCAGCUCUCCAACACAGAUGGCAAAGCAGUAGGCAUGGCGGUGCGCGCUGCUCUCACACUGCACCUUUGGCUUCAGCGACAUGAGGGCGACAGUGUGGCGCUAUCUGCGGCGCAUACUCCACACAGCAGCUCCGCGACUGCCUCUAAGCCCGAAGACGCUGCUGCGCAAAGUGCCCCGCCGCACGAAAGCAGCAAGAGUGCGGACGAUGGCGCCGGCGCCGCCAUUGAGAGCACUGCCGAGCCGUUGACGGUGCCGCCUGCGACUCUGCACGCACACGCCAUCUCGAGCGCCUCGCAUAUGUCCUACGUUAGCGAGCGCUCUGUUGCGUCCUUCAUACCGCCCAUGCUUGCCUUGUACAACGUCGGUGUCAGUGGCUCCGUCUGUGGCGAGUCAACGGAGACCCCGACGCUCAGGCACAGUCGAGGCGUUUCCUAUGUGAUGCAGACGGCCGGCAGCUCGCCUUCGGCAGCGCAGCAGCCACCGCAGGCUAACAGCAUCACAGAGCCAUCACGUGAGUCCGCCUUCUCCUGCUGUGGUAACGGCAGCAGCGAAGUCACUAUGGGUGCAAGCAAUGAGGGGAAGGCGACUGACCAGAGGGCCUUAGGUGAAGUCUGUAGUCAAGCCCUUGAGCGCCGCGGCAAGAGGACAGAGGACAGGGCACCGUCGUAUUCAUCCAACGUCAACUCGGUAUGCAAAGAAGGAAAGAAAGAUGAUGCAGCGCACCCGGGUCAUCUGCAGGAGUCGAUGCCGAAAACGGCCGCGCUAGUGUCCUCAUCUGAGCUAGGUGGCACCGCGGCGUCCGGCGCAUCGAUAAAGGCCGGGGAGCUCAUGAAGGGGAAGACGCACAGCUGCCUUUCUCUACCAGACACAAUCUCGGCAGCAGCGCCUGACACGGACUCCAGGGAGGCCAACGGCGUGGCUGGUAAGGUGGGUGGCAAGUUCUCGACCAUUUCCGGCCCCAUGAUGCCAGACGGUGCGUUGCCCUUAUCAACGGCCCCCAGCUCCGCUACGAGUCUGCGCGCAGACGCUGUCACAGGCGAUGGUAUCGUUGCCGUUUCGCAGCAGCCGACGUUGCGAGUGAGGAAAGAGAUGGACGUUGGAAAGGAAGGUGAUGGCGUCGGCACAGGCUGUUGCGGCGACCGACCGACAAGGAAGUCUGAACCUGUAACCAAGUUGCCCCUGGAGUGCGAGCCCGAUAGCGACCCCAACUCGUUUCCCAUGUUACGACGGAGUAGAGAAAAUGGCAGUGCUGGGGUCUCGGCAGUGCGCGCGGCGUCUGCGGAGCCGCUGGCUUCGUCAGUGCACACAACCAACAACCGCAACAACGCCCCGUUCGCUGCGAAGCUGUCUCCGAGGGACGAGUGCGUGUCUUCAAGGUCUCCAUAUUCGACUCCGAACACAGGCAUAGGAGCAGUCAAGAAUGAGGCAGCCGGCAACAAGUCGGCGCAAGAGCGAGGGCCCGUCGCGCUGCCUCGGCAACCGCGGUCCAGUUCGGCGGCGCGCGAGCCGAAGGUAUCCCAGUCAGAGCCCAGCCGACCGCAGAAAGGCCGCCAGACGAAGUCGAAAGGCAAAAGGGACCCCAAGCACCAGAGAAGGUCUGCCACUUCGACCCGCAUCCUCAUCGGGCGGCAGCAGAAGC